rnacentral:rRNA from 1 species
GGCGGCGUGCCUAACACAUGCAAGUCGAGCGGUAACAGGUGUAGCAAUACAUGCUGACGAGCGGCGAACGGGUGAGUAAUGCUUCGGAAUCUGCCCAAUGGUGGGGAAUAACUAGCCGAAAGGUUAGCUAAUACCGCAUACGACCUACGGGUGAAAGCAGGGGAUCGCAAGACCUUGCGCCGAUGGAUGAGCCGAAGUCGGAUUAGCUAGUUGGUAGGGUAACGGCCUACCAAGGCGACAAUCCGUAGCUGGUCUGAGAGGACGACCAGCCACACUGGGACUGAGACACGGCCCAGACUCCUACGGGAGGCAGCAGUGGGGAAUAUUGGACAAUGGGGGCAACCCUGAUCCAGCGACGCCGCGUGUGUGAGGAAGGCCUGCGGGUUGUAAAGCACUUUUAGUGGGGAUGAAAAGCCUAGGGCUAAUACCUCUGGGUCUUGACCUAACCCACAGAAAAAGCACCGGCUAACUCUGUGCCAGCAGCCGCGGUAAUACAGAGGGUGCAAGCGUUAAUCGGAAUUACUGGGCGUAAAGCGUGCGUAGACGGUUAUGUAAGUUAGGUGUGAAAGCCCCGGGCUCAACCUGGGAAUUGCAUUUAAGACUGCAUAGCUAGGGUACGGAAGAAGGGAAGCGGAAUUUCC